UACGGAGGGUGCAAGCGUUAAUCGGAAUUACUGGGCGUAAAGCGCGCGUAGGCGGUUUUUUAAGUCGGAUGUGAAAGCCCCGGGCUCAACCUGGGAACUGCAUCCGAUACUGGAAGACUAGAAUGCGGGAGAGGGAGGUAGAAUUCCAUGUGUAGCAGUGAAAUGCGUAGAUAUAUGGAGGAAUACCAGUGGCGAAGGCGGCCUCCUGGCUCGACAUUGACGCUGAGGUGCGAAAGCGUGGGGAGCAAACAGG
rnacentral:rRNA from 1 species